GAUGAACGCUGGCGGCGUGCUUAACACAUGCAAGUCGAGCGAUGAAGUUUCCUUCGGGAAACGGAUUAGCGGCGGACGGGUGAGUAACACGUGGGUAACCUGCCUCAUAGAGUGGAAUAGCCUUCCGAAAGGAAGAUUAAUACCGCAUAACGUUGAAAGAUGGCAUCAUCAUUCAACCAAAGGAGCAAUCCGCUAUGAGAUGGACCCGCGGCGCAUUAGCUAGUUGGUGGGGUAACGGCCUACCAAGGCGACGAUGCGUAGCCGACCUGAGAGGGUGAUCGGCCACAUUGGGACUGAGACACGGCCCAGACUCCUACGGGAGGCAGCAGUGGGGAAUAUUGCACAAUGGGGGAAACCCUGAUGCAGCAACGCCGCGUGAGUGAUGAAGGUUUUCGGAUCGUAAAGCUCUGU
rnacentral:rRNA from 1 species